rnacentral:tRNA from 2 species
GCGCUUGUAGCUCAGCUGGAUAGAGCGCAGCCCUGCGAAGGCUGAGGUCGUGAGUUCGAAUCUCGCCAAGCGCGCCA